GUUAAGCGACUAAGCGUACACGGUGGAUGCCCUGGCAGUCAGAGGCGAUGAAGGACGUGCUAAUCUGCGAUAAGCGUCGGUAAGGUGAUAUGAACCGUUAUAACCGGCGAUUUCCGAAUGGGGAAACCCAGUGUGUUUCGACACACUAUCAUUAACUGAAUCCAUAGGUUAAUGAGGCGAACCGGGGGAACUGAAACAUCUAAGUACCCCGAGGAAAAGAAAUCAACCGAGAUUCCCCCAGUAGCGGCGAGCGAACGGGGAGCAGCCCAGAGCCUGAAUCAGUAUGUGUGUUAGUGGAAGCGUCUGGAAAGGCGCGCGAUACAGGGUGACAGCCCCGUACACAAAAAUGCACAUGCUGUGAGCUCGAUGAGUAGGGCGGGACACGUGGUAUCCUGUCUGAAUAUGGGGGGACCAUCCUCCAAGGCUAAAUACUCCUGACUGACCGAUAGUGAACCAGUACCGUGAGGGAAAGGCGAAAAGAACCCCGGCGAGGGGAGUGAAAAAGAACCUGAAACCGUGUACGUACAAGCAGUGGGAGCACGCUUAGGCGUGUGACUGCGUACCUUUUGUAUAAUGGGUCAGCGACUUAUAUUCUGUAGCAAGGUUAACCGAAUAGGGGAGCCGAAGGGAAACCGAGUCUUAACUGGGCGUUAAGUUGCAGGGUAUAGACCCGAAACCCGGUGAUCUAGCCAUGGGCAGGUUGAAGGUUGGGUAACACUAACUGGAGGACCGAACCGACUAAUGUUGAAAAAUUAGCGGAUGACUUGUGGCUGGGGGUGAAAGGCCAAUCAAACCGGGAGAUAGCUGGUUCUCCCCGAAAGCUAUUUAGGUAGCGCCUCGUGAAUUCAUCUCCGGGGGUAGAGCACUGUUUCGGCAAGGGGGUCAUCCCGACUUACCAACCCGAUGCAAACUGCGAAUACCGGAGAAUGUUAUCACGGGAGACACACGGCGGGUGCUAACGUCCGUCGUGAAGAGGGAAACAACCCAGACCGCCAGCUAAGGUCCCAAAGUCAUGGUUAAGUGGGAAACGAUGUGGGAAGGCCCAGACAGCCAGGAUGUUGGCUUAGAAGCAGCCAUCAUUUAAAGAAAGCGUAAUAGCUCACUGGUCGAGUCGGCCUGCGCGGAAGAUGUAACGGGGCUAAACCAUGCACCGAAGCUGCGGCAGCGACGCUGAUGCGUUGUUGGGUAGGGGAGCGUUCUGUAAGCCUGCGAAGGUGUGCUGUGAGGCAUGCUGGAGGUAUCAGAAGUGCGAAUGCUGACAUAAGUAACGAUAAAGCGGGUGAAAAGCCCGCUCGCCGGAAGACCAAGGGUUCCUGUCCAACGUUAAUCGGGGCAGGGUGAGUCGACCCCUAAGGCGAGGCCGAAAGGCGUAGUCGAUGGGAAACAGGUUAAUAUUCCUGUACUUGGUGUUACUGCGAAGGGGGGACGGAGAAGGCUAUGUUGGCCGGGCGACGGUUGUCCCGGUUUAAGCGUGUAGGCUGGUUUUCCAGGCAAAUCCGGAAAAUCAAGGCUGAGGCGUGAUGACGAGGCACUACGGUGCUGAAGCAACAAAUGCCCUGCUUCCAGGAAAAGCCUCUAAGCAUCAGGUAACAUCAAAUCGUACCCCAAACCGACACAGGUGGUCAGGUAGAGAAUACCAAGGCGCUUGAGAGAACUCGGGUGAAGGAACUAGGCAAAAUGGUGCCGUAACUUCGGGAGAAGGCACGCUGAUAUGUAGGUGAAGUCCCUCGCGGAUGGAGCUGAAAUCAGUCGAAGAUACCAGCUGGCUGCAACUGUUUAUUAAAAACACAGCACUGUGCAAACACGAAAGUGGACGUAUACGGUGUGACGCCUGCCCGGUGCCGGAAGGUUAAUUGAUGGGGUUAGCGCAAGCGAAGCUCUUGAUCGAAGCCCCGGUAAACGGCGGCCGUAACUAUAACGGUCCUAAGGUAGCGAAAUUCCUUGUCGGGUAAGUUCCGACCUGCACGAAUGGCGUAAUGAUGGCCAGGCUGUCUCCACCCGAGACUCAGUGAAAUUGAACUCGCUGUGAAGAUGCAGUGUACCCGCGGCAAGACGGAAAGACCCCGUGAACCUUUACUAUAGCUUGACACUGAACAUUGAGCCUUGAUGUGUAGGAUAGGUGGGAGGCUUUGAAGUGUGGACGCCAGUCUGCAUGGAGCCGACCUUGAAAUACCACCCUUUAAUGUUUGAUGUUCUAACGUUGACCCGUAAUCCGGGUUGCGGACAGUGUCUGGUGGGUAGUUUGACUGGGGCGGUCUCCUCCUAAAGAGUAACGGAGGAGCACGAAGGUUGGCUAAUCCUGGUCGGACAUCAGGAGGUUAGUGCAAUGGCAUAAGCCAGCUUGACUGCGAGCGUGACGGCGCGAGCAGGUGCGAAAGCAGGUCAUAGUGAUCCGGUGGUUCUGAAUGGAAGGGCCAUCGCUCAACGGAUAAAAGGUACUCCGGGGAUAACAGGCUGAUACCGCCCAAGAGUUCAUAUCGACGGCGGUGUUUGGCACCUCGAUGUCGGCUCAUCACAUCCUGGGGCUGAAGUAGGUCCCAAGGGUAUGGCUGUUCGCCAUUUAAAGUGGUACGCGAGCUGGGUUUAGAACGUCGUGAGACAGUUCGGUCCCUAUCUGCCGUGGGCGCUGGAGAACUGAGGGGGGCUGCUCCUAGUACGAGAGGACCGGAGUGGACGCAUCACUGGUGUUCGGGUUGUCAUGCCAAUGGCACUGCCCGGUAGCUAAAUGCGGAAGAGAUAAGUGCUGAAAGCAUCUAAGCACGAAACUUGCCCCGAGAUGAGUUCUCCCUGACUCCUUGAGAGUCCUGAAGGAACGUUGAAGACGACGACGUUGAUAGGCCGGGUGUGUAAGCGCAGCGAUGCGUUGAGCUAACCGGUACUAAUGAACCGUGAGG
rnacentral:rRNA from 1 species